AGCAGCCGCGGUAAUUCCAGCUCCAAUAGCGUAUAUUAAAGUUGUUGCAGUUAAAAAGCUCGUAGUUGAAUUUCGGGGUCAGCAGGUUGGUCGUGCCAAUGGUAUGCACUGGCCUUGCUGAUUCCUCCCUCUUGAUGAGCUGUAAUGCCAUUAAUUUGGUGUUGCGGGGAAUCAGGACUGUUACUUUGAAAAAUUAGAGUGUUUAAAGCAGGCAAGCGCUUGAAUACAUUAGCAUGGAAUAAUGAAAUAGGACGUUUGAUCCUAUUUUGUUGGUUUCUAGGAUUGACGUAAUGAUUAAUAGGGAUAGUUGGGGCAUUAGUAUUCAAUUGUCAGAGGUGAAAUUCUUGGAUUUAUUGAAGACUAACUACUGCGAAA
rnacentral:rRNA from 1 species